rnacentral:rRNA from 1 species
GUCUGCGAUACACAGUAGGCGGCUGAGCGAAAGCAUUAAGUGAUCCACCUGGGGAGUACGAUCGCAAGGUUGAAACUCAAAGGAAUUGACGGGGGCCCGCACAAGCGGAGGAACAUGUGGUUUAAUUCGAUGAUACGCGAGGAACCUUACCUGGGCUUAAAUGUAGACUGCAUAAUUUAGAAAUAGAUUUUCCCUUCGGGGCUGUUUACAAGGUGCUGCAUGGUUGUCGCCAGCUCGUGCCGUGAGGUGUCGGGUUAAGUCCCAUAACGAGCGCAACCCCUAUCGUUAGUUGCUAGCAGGUAAUGCUGAGGACUCUAGCGAGACUGCCACCGUAAGGUGAGAGGAAGGUGGGGAUGACGUCAAAUCAGCACGGCCCUUAUGUCCAGGGCUACACACGUGUUACAAUGGUCGGUACAAAGGGCAGCUACCUGGUGACAGGAUGCCAAUCCCUAAAGCCGAUCCCAGUUCGGAUUGGAGUCUGCAACCCGACUCCAUGAAGUUGGAUUCGCUAGUAAUCGCGCAUCAGCCAUGGCGCGGUGAAUACGUCCCCGGGCCUUGUACACACCGCCCGUCAAACCAUGGAAGCUGGGGGUACCUGAAGUAUGUGACCGC